UUCUUGCUUAAACAUCUACUAAUUUUGUGAUAAAAUGUUUUAAGAAAGUCUAUAAGUAAAACCCUCACAAAUUAGAGUUUUGACUCCUAAAGAUAUGAUUUCCAAAUAUAGAAAAACUUAAUACCUGUCUUUCAUUAACAUAAUAUGUUUAUGCAAUACAAGGUAAGUGUAGCAUUUCAUUAAUGCUUCCUGAAUUAUGCAAUGUUCUGGUUUGAUCGUAUUCCUCAGAAAAUAACUUAAGUGUAAUAUAUAAUUAAUUGCUUUACAGGGGCACUUUUGCCUUGGUUAAUAUCCUUAACAAUAGCCAUAAAUUAUCCUCUUAACUAUUGCUAAUAUGGAGCAAAAGCUCUACUGCAAGUCUACUUCCACUCCUUAAAUCCUGAACAAGUUAAAUCCCAUCUUGCACCAUCUCUCCAACAUCUCCACACUUGACUGGAUCAUCUUGACUAAACAUGUCAGACCUGACAAAUUUUUUAGCUCUUAGAAAGACUUUAACUCAGUUUUUAAGCCCUCUGACAUACCAGUCAAAACUCUGUUAAUGUGAUUUACAGUUAAAUUAAACACAAAAACAUCAUUGAAAUAAUGAUAAAAGGUUAAGGCCUGAAGCUACAAAUACAGAAAAGAGAAGGCAUGGCUGUGUUGGAAAGUUCAAUGCAGCCUUGCACAGCCAUCUCUGCCUAUUCUGCGUAGCUCAGAGGGUCUUCUGUGAGAUAUACCUCAGCUAGAGACAAAUAUUACCCACUUGAGCAUUUCAGAGCAUUUAUUCUCUGUGCACAAAAGCAUGCUAAAAUGAAUGACUGAGGUUUCAUUAAUAAGAUUAGCGUCUUUAGCAAGUUUAGUCAGCGUGUAAAAAAGAAGCAGCAUUUUGCCUGAUCUUUGCUUUGCCUUUGCAUACAGAUUUUACACUUUACUCAUUCUCACAUCAUUCUCACUUUACAGAUGAGGACACUGAGGCUUAGUCCAUCUCAGUAUCACAAACCUGUAGGGAACAAAGGUGUGACCCUCCCACCUUCACCACCAUAAUCAAUCUCAGGCAGCUCUUUUCACUGCUUUCAUUCUCUUCCUUCCACAAAAGUUCUUUCCAGGGAAAUAAAUGACAAGAAUCUGAGCUCUUGCCUAUCCCUCCCAGCAUCAAACUUCUGCCUCACCACCUUCUCCCAUCCUACGUCCCCUACCCACUCCAGUCCAGUCUGCAAAUUUAAGUUGUCUAUUUCUCUUUGAAGAUUUUUCUAUAUUGCUAAGCUGCAUUCUCAUCACUCAAAUGCUUUCAUCCCAGUAGGACUGUCUGCAAGCCAUAAAAUUACUUUUGACCAGAUUGUGAGCCCUCAGAGACAAAAUAUGUGCUAUAUCCAGUCUUGUUUUCCCAGAGCUUCACAUAGUGCUUAGCUCAUUAAAAGUUCUCAAAAAUAAAUACAUGAAUGGAUAAAUGAAUGACAGAAGCUACAUUUUUAAGAGGUAUUGAAUGAAUUGAAAUUCACAAUUUCUGAAUGGUUUGUUGCAGUAUGUCCCAACUUUUCUUGUUCAGUUAGAACAGUUUUUUCAAUGUCUCCCUGUCUACUAAGAACAUCUUUCUUACCCUAGCUUUGCCUAGCCAGCAAUUAAAGGCUUUGCAUUGGAGUUCACAAUUACUGCAAAACUGGGAAACAAAAUAUUCUCCUUUAUAAAAUGGUCCAAGUUAAUCUUUUUGAGAAACAGAUGUACAACUUAUUAACACAAUUCAGUUAUUCAUUCUGUCCAAAAUAAUUUACUGAAUAUGCAGAAAAAUGUGUUUUAAUGAUGUAUUCAAUCCAGUUUCUGUAGUCAAGCAAGUCAGAGUUAAAUAGUUAAUAGUUAAAUAGAAAGACAAAGAAAAAUAAAUUUUAAUACAAUCAAGAAGUGAAGGGCACAAAGAAACUUGCUCAGUGGAGGUGAGAAGACCAAGGAAGGCUUCCUAGGAUAGCGGACUCUUCAUCUGAGUCUUCAUAAUCAGUUUCGUUAAGUAGACAAAAAGGGGUGAAAGAUCUAGAUAUAGAAGAGGUGAUGUACAAAGCCACAGAGAUUAGAAAGAAAACAAAACAAAACAGGUUACGUGUGGAGAAUAAUGUGGCCCCUACUGCUAAUGAAACAUAAACAUGUGAGAGCCAGAAGAAUUAGAAGACUGGUAAGGGAGAAAAGGAGGCAGCAGCAAGUCAUCACUAUACACCAUUUUAGAGCUUAGUCUUUGACUUAAAGGAAGUAUUAAGUGCACAAAAAUCUGUUUUGACACGGAUUUGUAUGUAAAACAACUAUUCACUGCCUAAUCUACCAGGAUUUUACACCAAGUAUUAAAAUACUUUUCUUAAAUUAUCUUGGAUGGGGAUACGGAUCCCAUCAUCGAGAUCUUUUCUUACGUUUUUGUCUCUCUUUCUAGAAAGAAGAAUUAAGGUACUUCUUGACUCCUUUUUGAAGGUAGUUAUUAUAUGUAAGGAAUCGUGUCCUUAAUCCUGUUGAUCCUGUUGGCAUUUCUCUCACUCUCAUUGUUACUGUUUCUCUUUUUCUCUUUCUCAACCAUUUGUCUUAGAUGUCAUUUUCGCAAAGGACCUUAGUAACUAUCUGUUUCUCCUGAAAUCGUUUCCUAAGUCAACAACAUAGAAUGAUAGGUCACAGUACAGUUCUCUACUUACUGUCUUCAUGCAUCAGGCCAGAUUUUUUUUCAGUUGUCACGUUAGUAUGCAGAAAACACAUCUGAGACUUCAGCCUGCCUUGCAUCUUGAAAGAGUAGGGCAUAAACCAAAUUUUGGAGUCCUCUGUUGAUAAUAAUCCAUCCAGUAUAGCACCUGGAGCCGUUUUUUUUAUUAGAGAGAGUAAGUGCUGUGCUAAGUGACGAUGAUGUAGUUUGGUGGAGCUGCCCCUGGAAUGCAAUAAAGAACAGAGGACAAGCUCCUUGGAGUGUGUUCCUGAAUUAAAAGCCAAUGGUUUAAAAGUUCACUGGAGAACCCAGGCAGGGAGAGGAGCUUACUCCAUGGCUGUUGGCAUAUCAUUAGUCUAUUCUAGCGAGGCAUACUCCAAGCAUAUCAUUAGUCUAUUCUAGCGAGCUAUUUACAUCCAGGUGCAACUCAAAGUAUAAGAAAAAAAAUUAUACAAAACUUUAUGUUACAUUUGAUCCUGGCUUAGAAAGCAUAUGCAAGCCUAAGUAUCCCUCCAGUAGUAACAAUAAAGUUUUACUGCUAACGUGUUCAAAAUUUAAGACCCAUGCAACUAGAAGCUGUAUGCUUUAUGCUUUUUAGUUUCCUUUUCUCCUUAGUUUACCCUUUGGGGAUACAGUACAAGAUUCUGUCUUUCCUACUUGAAAACAUACAGUAUUAUUAGUGGAAAGAUCUUAUAUACUUAUAUUUAUUACUUUAUCUGCAAUUACUAUUAAAAAUAAGUAUUUAAAUCGAGUCAUUUUUACACGAAAUUAUUAGCCCUACUACUAAAGUUUUUAAAGUAAGAGAAAACCCAAGAUGAUUUAGUAUAUACAAUCAAGGAAAAUUGCUUGAUUACUAUACUAAAUUCUAGGCUCAGAUGAUUUAAUUCAGUCAUGCUUUACUUGUAAAGAAGUAUUCAAACAGUCACCUCUUGUAUAGUCAGUUUAGCAACUUAAGUUUGAAACUUAAAUUUUAAUAUACAUGUGGAUUUAAUAAUUUCUUGCACCUUUGUGCAAGAGCUAAUUUUAUUAAAAUGAGGAUAAAUAACAAUUGAUUAGUCUUGGUAUCUCUGAAUAAUUAAAAUGGCUUUUUUUACAAAAAGAAUGAACAUGUAUAUAGUCACUUAUCACAUAAAAUGAAAUUCUAUGUUUUCACAUCACUUAUUACAUCAAAUGGAAUUAUAUGUUUUCAUGAAUAUAUUGACAUAUUUCCCUAUCAUACUUAAGAUCUUAUUUGGAAAGUUUUUUUUAAUUACAUGCAGUACUACUAACUGUUCAGUGAAAAGCAUCAAAAUAACUAAAAUAAGUUUUUAAAUAAUAAUAAUGUUAUCAACUACUAGUAUGAACUAUCAUAUAUUCAUGAUAAAAGAAAAUCCAAAGAGCAUCUGUUUCCAAACAUAAACAAAUAGACACUUUCUUCAGAGCAAAAACCUCAACUAAUAAUGUUUUAAAUAAUUAAAUGGUUUAGGUAACUCCGUAUCACCUAGACAACACAAUUCAAGUUCUCCUGAUGCAGUCUGACAUGACACAACUCCUAAAACUGAAUCCAAGCCAAAUACUAUUCUUGUAUUAUUUUUAGUCAUGUUUUUAAUAUGAACUUAGUGUCAAUUUGUAAAUUGUUUUUAGUAUUUUAUCCUUUAGAAAAGUCAAAAGUUUUUUGAAAAAUCAUAAAAAGUCAGUCUUUUGUGGCUCACUUUCAGGUUUUUUUUAAAUAUAGUUCAUGUUAUUUACGAAAGUGGAUUUUUUAUGAUUACAAAAGAUUGAAUUAAGAAAGCAUAUGCUCCUCACAUAAACAUUGCUAGAGAAUAUAUCAUUAACAUGUUUGUUAUUUUCCUUAAUGUUGACCUUUGUGUACUCAGAGUUAGGUAGCUCCAGGACCAGAAUGUAUGUUCCACAUCUAAGAAUCUUGCAGUGAGACUUCAUCUUGGCUGAUGAAAAAAUAAAUGCAAAACAAGGAAGAGACCACAAUCAAACUGGCUAUCUCAAAACAGAUGCAGAUUAAGCUCCUUGAAGUUUUUCAUAACCACGUCACUUGAUUCAGCAAAUGAAACGUGAGAAGUAACAUGUCACUUCCAGGCUUCAGAUUCUCUUGUAUCAAAGGACACAUCGUAUAGCAUAUCACAUCUCUUCAACGUAUUACAAGUAGACAAAAGGCAGAAGGAGGAUUAAGUUCUGUUCUCUUCAUAAAGGUAUUUACUCAUUUAUUUACAGGAAUUGAGAUGGUUCACAUGAGUAACAUGCAAAAUACACUUCAUAAAUCAGAAAAACAACACCAAAAAGAGGAUCUGAAAUGAAUAUUGUAGGCAAUAACAUUAUAUGACUCAUAUUACAAAAUAUCCAAUUUAUUUUUGAGGUUCAUAACCUCCAUUGCAAAAAAGACAUGUGUAAAGGGGCAUAGUUCUCUUUAAUUGAAAGUAGAAAGCUUAUCAAUUUCUCACAAAAAUUUCUGAUACUUAGACUCCAAAUUCUAAAGGAAAUUCUCCUGUGGGGUUUAAUCCAAGACCUCUGAGAAAGAAAUAGGCUGAAUGUUGCUGCUUUCUGUGAUUUUUUUUUUUUUUUCAGUAAAAGCUAAAGGCAGGGAGAGUAAUUUCAUCAUGUGUAAGUUAAUGUAGAUGGAUCUUAUUGCCAUUCUGUCUUCAAACUGGAAUCCAGCAAUAAAGCAUAAGAAUUAGUCACAAAAUUUUAUGAAGGACAGGCCCUUGGACUAAUGUCCCUCAAAAAUUACUUCUCACAGUCAGACUUUAGAUAAAGGUAGCACAUGGAAGGAAUCACAGGGUUUGGAAUAAGAAAUCUGAAUUUCACCAUGUUUGGUCAAACAACUUAUUUAACUUCCCUGAGCCUUAGUUUCUUCAGUAGAAUUAUGCAAGUAACAAAUAGAGGCAGAACAUAAAAAUCAUCUAACACAUGCCAUGCAAAUGGCAUUAUCUGCUGCAUAAAAAUAAGGACAGACUGGAUAACAGGGUAACACCUAUUGUUGUUUGAAGAAGUAUCUACAUCUCUUGGCUUCCAGAUGAACAGGCAGAACUGCUACAAUUGUAGUGGUACCUGAAGAGCCUAUCCAAGAUUCUCGUUCUAUGAAAGGCCCACUUACCUCCUUAUGGAAGAGAAGCAAAUCUGGUACUCUCCCCAGAAAACAACCGUGGUUCACCUUCAGUAAUUAGACAAGCAUUCAAUUGAUAUCUCAGAUUUCCACAUGAUGGAAUGAGUCUAACAUCAACCUGGAAACUGUACAAAACAGACUCUUCCAGUUUUUAGUUGCCAUAGAAAAAUCUCAGUAACCCCUCCAAGGGAUAAUGACUGUAAGACACUUACUUUUCCACUAGCAUUCCAGAGUUGGUUAGCUGUAAAUAUAAGCCCAAAUUAUUGUGAACAUGAACUGGGUAUAUAGAGAUAUUUUAGUAGUUACUGUUCUGACUUUAGGAGUAUAUUCUUUUCAGGUGAUAUUUCACUUUUCCCAAUUAACAUUGUGUCAGUCUUCCUGAUGGUAAAUUCUAGGACCGUUUGUAUCAUGGAGCCUCCUUCUAUGUCAUCAGGAAGUAGAUGUUUAAAGUUAGUUAAUAUAAAAAUGCCAGAACACCCACAUAUGCACUAAAAACAGAAGUAGAACAAAAGUGCUCUCCAUUUUCCAACACUAAAUAUUAUUGUCUGAUCUGUAAGUUGUAGAAUUACAUAUCUUCCAGACAUGAGAACUAUGAAUCAUAACAAAUCAAGUAAUAUCACUGAUUUCACACAAAACUAUCUGCAUAAAAUGUUUCUUAUAAUCUACUCUCAAUUCUAUCAUUUCUCUAUUGAUGCAGAAGUUUCUCCCAAAAGACCUCAUAAUCUUUCUUUUUAGUCCAACCAAACUCAAUGUAUUUGAUAAUACUUCGUUUCAGAGUAAACCUAACAUCACAAGAAACACAAGUACAAACAAGACCAGAUUCUUCACGUAUUCUUAUCAUUUUGUAUUUUUUUUGUACUAGUUUUCCUGUUUGGCUGUCUAUGCAUGUUUUAAUCUGAAAUGAAUACCACUUCUAACAAUCUCCCUUUAACACGAACACCACCCCCACCUCCCAACUCCCCAGCUAAAGAAAACACUUAAGUGGGGUAAAUGGUCCAAAUACCCCAAGGGAAAUCUUUUCUACUUUAAUUCAUGUAGAGAAAAAAAAAUGUAUAUCAUCUGCUGGUGGCUCAGUAGCCUGUGAACUAUGUGUUGGUAAACCCAGUCUUGUUGCUGAUGGCAGAAAUAAUCAUGCUUUGUAUUUAUGUAAUACCUUUCUGCUAUGAAGCUUACAGGAUAUUAUGUGUCUUGCAUCUCUAAUCUUCAUAACAUCCCUAUAGUUAUGGGAAUAAAUUGAAGACUGUACUUUAACCUGAAAGAUCAUGAAAUGGGAAAAACUGAUAAGAUGCUGCACAUAGCUGAUCUUGUUAAGGGUGUAUGGAAAUGUCAUGGGGCCAGACUCUCAUUCCCCGUCACACUACAUGCACCAUUUUCCAUAAGCGAGUCUUUCUUUCAAUCUAGAGGGAGAGCCAUGACUGAAAGCUGAAAAGAAGAUUCAGUGACUAAGCAGCAGAGUGGAACCUCAGGGCCUCUGCAUUUUCUUUUUAAUUCUGUUCCUAAUUUGUGACAUGACCCUAAGAAACCUUUUGCCCUCUUUAAGCCUUAAUUGUUUUACUUACAAAAUAGUAUUGUGCUAAGCAUGUUGCUCUGCAUCCUGGCUCUGGCUUCCAACACUCUAUCUUUUGUACUAUCCCAUAAUUAAUUUGUUCAUCUAUUCAACAAAUAUAUAUUGAGCACAUUCUGUGUUUAAGGCACUGGGCCAGACACUUGAGACUCUAAAAGAAAUUAAGACAUUAUCUCAAGCUUACAAAAUAAAAGCAGGCAUUCUUACAGGUGUAAAAAUAGCAACAUUAUAAACCAAUAUCGAUUGUGUCAUCGAUCAAUGCAAAUGAUGUACUAAAUGAAUUCUGAGGCUUUGCUUCUGACACACUGAGGUAGCGGAAAGACCACUGAAUAAGGAAUAAAACCUUACUCAUAGAUCCCUCUCUGCCAUUUACUAACUUCCUAUAAAAUAGAUGAAAUAUAAUUCACAAGGUUGUUUUGAUAAAAUAAAAUAUUAUAGGGAAAAACACCUAAUAGGUGUAAAGUUGUAUUUUUUCUAUUGUAACUGGUAAGAUCAGAGAAUGCUUCAGGUAAAUGACGUUCAGAAUGAUCCGUGGCUGCUGAAGAAUAUUUCAAUAGGUGGAGAAUAUUCUGCACAGACAGAAUGGUAAGGUAUAGAACAGGAAAUAUAUUAAGAGACAACUAAGUAUUCAAAGAAUCAAAAGUCGCAAUGAGAGGAACAAAUACUUUCAGAAGCUAUAAGGUGGUAGAAGAAGUGAAGGAGUCAGAGGAAUGAAACCAAGGAGAUUAUGAUGGGGGAAGUUGCUAGUUUAAGAUAUUCAGAUGUUCUAAAUGUUGACAUGAUCUAAGGGAUUAUGGUGGUUAAUCCAUGGCUGAAAUGAACUGAAGACACAACUUAGCCAAAUUUAAGUAAUCUAGAAAAUUUAAGUCUAUUUUUGUAUGAGGUAAACACAGAGAUAAUGAGAGUGCAAAAUAAAGAAGAAAACUCUGGACAAUAUGCAAAAAUCAUCAAAGAAACAAGAGAUGUGGAUGAAAGCCAAUAGAUGGUAGAAAUAAGGUAAAUGAAAGACUGAGAAAAGUCUUGUGAAAAUAAUUGGAAGAAACAAUAGAAAAGAUUGAAACUAUACAGGAUUUCAUAGUUUAAUUACGGGGAUUCCUUGUUUAGGAUCUUCCAAAACAACAUUCUUCAGCAAGUGUCCUCAAUCUACCAAUUAAUCUGGAAACCUUAAGCUCAACAUCCAAGUCAUGUGUACACACCAUUCUCCAUAGCUCAAACUCGAGACAGUACAGCUGGUAGCCACACUCAUCUCCAUGAGCGAUGACUUCCCUGUCAGCACACCUUCCUGAUUUCUCUUUUCUUUCUUCUCCUCCUGUAACACACAUUGACUCAUAUUCACUUUGAAAAAGUCAAAAGUAACUCAAACUUAGGAAAUAUUUAGAGUUUCUAGCCCUCAAGGACCAAAUUACACGCUAUUUGCUUGAACACUAUCUACCACGGAAUUGGGUGUAUGUGCCUAAUUUUAAAAUUAGUGUUCAAUUAUUUUAUUCAUGUUGCAUGAACAUAUCAUAGUAAUGGGUAAAUAAUUUAUAAAAUCUGGGUAGAUUCUGAGUGGCAAGAAUUACAUUGAGUUCACUGUUAAGAGUUCAAAUUGAUGGAAAAAUAGUAUAAUUGAUGACAUCUUGCAAUAAAUAAAAACAUUUAAAAUAUGAUUUGGAAGACACCACACAAUUAACUAACGAGCUAAGAAAGAGAUACUUUCAGUUUGUUUCCCAUUUUGUUUUUCACCUUUUGACCUAGUUUUUCUUUCUUCUUUUGAUAACUAGUUUGCUUUUGAUCAAGAAGAGUGAAUGUUCAAGAAUCAGAGUGCAAGUUUUACUUCAAAGAUCAGAACAAUUUAUUGAUGGCCAUUCUGAUGAGUAAUUCGGUAUUAACUCAUUCAUUGAACUAUAGUAUGUGACUUUAUAUUUUUUCAACAUACAUGUUUCCUUAUAAAAAAAGAAAAAGAAAAAACUACUUAUGCAGUCUAGCUAUGAGUAGAACUCCUACAGACUGCCAAAAUAUAAGUACACGAUGAUCGUUGUGUUCAACAUAUGUCAUUUAUAAUAACCAGAUUUCAUAUUUUAGGUUUUCAUGUGACCUGAUUUCUAACCUAAGGCAUUGUCUUAUUCUCAAAAUCAUUCUAACUUAUAAUGAUACAUUUAUGAAUAUAACUUACUUUUUUUCAAAUUUUCACCAUUUUGCUGAAACCCCAAACUGUUAUGAUUUUCUCAUUAUUUAUAUUAAUUUCUUACGCUAAAUUUUUUAUAGCUGGCUCUGAACUGAUCACUGAGUAAAAAUAGUUCUUACAUUGGCUAAUGAUUAUUUGUAAACUUAUUUAAGGAUAAAAUAGCUUCCUUAAAAUAACCCCAAGGAAACAUAUGUAAUAUAGCUCCUCCAUAAUAAGUAUGUAAUUUAAUUCCUGCAUGUCAUAUCCUAGUUUAAAACUUGUUUUCACAUAUUUUGUUUCAUUUGAUCUUCACAACAUCCUAAUAGUGGGUUAGCGAAUAUUUUUAUUAUCCCUCUACUCAGAUGAGGAAAUUGAGGCUCAGUUAAAUAAAUUACAUGCUCAAGAUUAUGCAGAUAAUAAACAGCUUAGAUUAGAAUUCAUGUCUUGGAAGGGCAUCAUACUACACGGCUAUUUGAUCCAAAAUGAGCACUAAUAAGAUAACUUUAAUAAUUUUUCCCUUAGCAAAAGCAUUUAAUUUCAAUGCAAAGUAAAAUAAAAAGAAAUAAGAGAUAUAGGAUUAGGAAAAAGAAAAGAAAAAAAUAUCAUUUUUAGACAAAAUGAUUGCCUACAUGAAAAAUGCAAGUGAAUCUAUAGA